rnacentral:rRNA from 1 species
UACGUAGGGUGCGAGCGUUGUCCGGAAUUAUUGGGCGUAAAGAGCGCGCAGGUGGUUGAUUAAGUCUGAUGUGAAAGCCCACGGCUUAACCGUGGAGGGUCAUUGGAAACUGGUCGACUUGAGUGCAGAAGAGGGAAGUGGAAUUCCAUGUGUAGCGGUGAAAUGCGUAGAGAUAUGGAGGAACACCAGUGGCGAAGGCGGCUUCCUGGUCUGCAACUGACACUGAGGCGCGAAAGCGUGGGGAGCAAACAGGAUUAGAUA